rnacentral:rRNA from 1 species
CCUACGGGGGGCUGCAGUGAGGAAUAUUGGUCAAUGGACGAGAGUCUGAACCAGCCAAGUAGCGUGAAGGAUGACUGCCCUAUGGGUUGUAAACUUCUUUUAUAUGGGAAUAAAACGUUCCACGUGUGGGAUUUUGUAUGUACCAUAUGAAUAAGGAUCGGCUAACUCCGGGCCAGCAGCCGCGGUAAUACGGAGGAUCCGAGCGUUAUCCGGAUUUAUUGGGUUUAAAGGGAGCGUAGGUGGAUUGUUAAGUCAGUUGUGAAAGUUUGCGGCUCAACCGUAAAAUUGCAGUUGAAACUGGCAGUCUUGAGUACAGUAGAGGUGGGCGGAAUUCGUGGUGUAGCGGUGAAAUGCUUAGAUAUCACGAAGAACUCCGAUUGCGAAGGCAGUUCACUGGACUGCAACUGACACUGAGGCUCGAAAGUGUGGGUAUCAAACAGGAUUAGAUACCCGUGUAGUC